UCACAAAAUGGGAUUCGGUUUGAUGAAUGCUGAGGCUAUGGUUAAGAAGGCAAUAAAGUGGAAAACUGUCCCGGAACAACUAACUUGGCAAUCAAAAGUUAGCAGCCCAAACAUGACUUUAGAGGAAAGAUCAAAAGCCAAAAACAAAAUUGACGUUUCCCGUGGCGAUUGUCCAAUCCGGCAUUUAGAACAUGUAAUGGCUACAGUGAGCUUUAAUUACUCAUGUUGUAGAGGAGCAGUUGAGGUAUAUCUGGUGUCUCCCAGUAGGACCAAAGUAGUUCUGCUUCCAAAAAGAUACAACGACGCGUACUUCACAUACACUCAAUCAGGCACCUUUACUUGGACUUACAAAGUUGUUCAUUUAUGGGGAGAAAAUCCUAUAGGAAAGUGGAAAGUUUUACUUAAGUUAGACAACAUGAUAGCCAGUGCGGAACUAAAGGAGUGGUAUCUUACUCUCUAUGGAACAUCAUCAAAUCCAAUGAAAGGAUAAAAAACCUGUCAAUCAAGGUAUAUUUGUCAACUGAAUUUCACAGUGGGCCCAUCGUCAAAUGAAUAGACAUUACUUUAAUAUUUAUAUAAAAAAAACACAUUUGUCAUAGGAUUUCCAGAUUAAUAAAAUUUUGUUAUUUA